AUUGAACGCUGGCGGCAUGCCUUACACAUGCAGGUCGAACGGUAACAGGUCUUCGGAUGCUGACGAGUGGCGAACGGGUGAGUAAUACAUCGGAACGUGCCUAGUAGUGGGGGAUAACUACUCGAAAGAGUGGCUAAUACCGCAUGAGAUCUACGGAUGAAAGCAGGGGAUCGCAAGACCUUGUGCUACUAGAGCGGCCGAUGGCAGAUUAGGUAGUUGGUGGGAUAAAAGCUUACCAAGCCGACGAUCUGUAGCUGGUCUGAGAGGACGAUCAGCCACACUGGGACUGAGACACGGCCCAGACUCCUACGGGAGGCAGCAGUGGGGAAUUUUGGACAAUGGGCGCAAGACUGAUCCAGCAAUGCCGCGUGCAGGAUGAAGGCCUUCGGGUUGUAAACUGCUUUUGUACGGAACGAAAAGCCCUGGGUUAAUACCCUGGGGUCAUGACGGUACCGUAAGAAUAAGCACCGGCUAACUACGUGCCAGCCGCCGCGGUAAAAC
rnacentral:rRNA from 1 species